UUUUGAAAUUCCAGAAAACCGCGUGACAUGAAUUAACGUGACGACGGAAAUGGUGGACAAGGUGUGUUUUAGCACAACAGAAAAACACCAUAUUUUGUUUAUUAUUAUAGGCCCAGGUAUAUUCGUGAUGUACGUAUCAGCAAAACUACUAAAAAGGGAUGGUACUCGUCUCGACGUUAUUGUGGCCAUUUUCACUUAAUAUAAUGGACGCACCACUUGUCAAUGCCAAACAUACCAAAAGAACCACGUAAACGAAGGGCGGAUAUGGAAGUCGAUAGAAUGUAUUUUAGAGAAAACUCCAUACAUAAUUUGCUGUAUUAUAGGUUAUUUCCGUGAUGUAUGAAUAAAAAAAAUCUACUAAGAUAUGUUAACACAGGACUACCAUAUAGAAAGAGAAGAGGCAAUUAGCUAAGUGCAUAAGGGGUAUGACCUUUGCAGAUCUCCAAUCAAAAUGAAUACAGCCGGUGGUAAUAGAUAUAUUUAUAAUAUGGGUCAGUGGUAGGGCAAUAGCUAUCGCUCCAUCUUCGAUAAAUUUUGCAGAUUUUAUCGAUCCAUGAUUCGCUGAUUGCAAUUACGGAAGAUUUAGUUUUCGUUGCAAUAGCACGAAUUUCCUAUAUUUCGUGGGAGAGGACACUAUGGUGUUGAGGUGCAAGCAGUGCAGCCCUUUCGUCUAAAGGUAUCUGCUGAAUUAUCGGGAUCACUAAGGGGAUGAGUGACUGACAAGUUUAGCAAAGAAGAGGUCGCCGUUAAGUUAGGCUUCAGGUGUUGUUUAACGGAGUGACGUUACGACAGUACUGGCGGGUGAUUUAAAACUUGCUUAACACUCAAACCGCUAUGUCAUUGGGCUUACUAGGGUCGAGACUAAAAAUCCACCAUAAAUGGCUUCGUCGGUGAAAAUAAAAUUGAAGAACAAGAGGACGAGAAAUCUCUACUGCAACGUAUAUGUAUAUAUGUAUGAGAGAAUAAAUUUCACUAUGCAGUGCAGCAGAGCAUGACAAAAGUUGCAAGACAAGAAAAGUACACUAAAAUUUAGUUGGAACAUUAAGAGUUCGCAAGAGUCAUCCCGGCGAAAGAAUACAAACAACUAUUUUAUCUUAAAAAACAAGUUAAUAGAUGAAGACAACUUGUAUCAUUCUGAAUUAUCGAUCAUAUUGUAUAGAAGAUACGUUCAAGUUAGAUGAGAAACCAGAACUUCUAUAGACCUAAUUCAUUUUUCUAUUAUAGUUGUGUAAAGCAUUAACUUUUGGUUAAUUUGAUUAUGUCUAAUAGUUUGUAAGACAAGUAAGAAGAUAUACUGGCCUUUAGUUCCACAUCUUGCUGAAUAUUGAGACGGCGAUAUACAUACAGCGAUUGUAUUUUUAUAUAUUAUGUACAUUUAUAUAAAUUCAUAUUUAUAUUA